GUUAAUCAGAGACUCCCUGAUCUGUUCUGCUUUGCUCAGAAUGGUGCCCCAAGCAAGAUGAAGCACUUAUUAGUGGCCAUGAGUAGGGAAGGAAAGGUAAUCUUUAAAUGGGCCAAAGGUUUUCCUUUCCCUGCUGGCCCAGACACAGCUCUUUUACCUUUUGUGCUGCAGACGGUGGAGGAGAGAGGUACUUCCAGACCAACAAUCUAUCAGAACUCUCCAGGAAAGACUGAAAUAGGGAAAAGAGCAGGCAUAGAAAGAACACAGAAACUGAAAAGUUAAGAUGAGAAAGGACAGAGUGAAAAAUAAGAGAGAGAGAAAAAAAAGAUACAGAAAAGGAGAGACAGAAAACUCGGAUAAAAAUACUUCAUACGUACCAUAUGUUGAGUGCAAGUGUACAGAAUAAUAUCCCAUGGCAGUGAACAGGAAGAUGAAACUCAAUAAAAACUGGGGAUG